AUGCCUAAUGAGCUUGAAAUGAGCUUGCAGCGUCUGCUCGAGCGAGCACGGGGCCUGGUGUCGGCGGCGCUGGACGCGGCGACCGUCUUUGGCGGGCGGUGGAAGACCAUCGCAGUGAGGCUGGAGAGGCCACGCUCGCCGCCCAAGGCUGGCAAGCUGCAGAUGCAGAGCGACCUCGACGCUCUCACCGGGAAGCUGGACCUCAGCCUUUGGACUGCGCGCUGCUUGUCAAGACAGGUGUGCUCCUCGCAGAUGGACGUGCGGGAGCUGCUCGCUAGGCUGCAAACCGGGCACACCGAGACGAAGCACCGGGCCGUGGAGGGGCUCCAUGAUGCGCUGCGCGAGGACGAGAAGAGCGUGAUGUCGGCGCUCGGCCGUGGCAACGUGGCCGCGCUGGUGCAGCCGCUUAUGGCGACGGCGCCCAAGAUCAGGGAGAAGGUGGACACCGUUCAUCCGGCUGGCAGAGUCCGUCCAUCGUCUGUCCAUGUCACCCAAGAUUGCCCGCGUCGUCUACUCAUCGAAAUCUGCCAGACCGGGGACUCCAUCUCGCAAUCCGCGACCGCGGGCACGCUCAAGAACCUCUCCGCGGUGCCGGAGGUCCGGCAAGCGCUCGCCGAGGAAGGCAUCGUGCGCGUGAUGAUCAGCCUUCUCGACCGCGGCGGCUUCCUGCCUAGCCUGCGGCGCGCCGUGGUGUCCGAGGGCGCGCUGCCUAGCCUGCUCGCCUACCUCGAUGGCCCACUGCCGCAGGAGUCCGCCGUGGGCGCCGUCUCGCCGGACACACUUGUGUCCCUCGGCGUGCUCCCGCAGCUCGCGCAUCAGGCGGGCGCGGGGGGCAUCUGCAGGAUCUCCAGUUCCCCUGAGAUGAAGCGCCGAGUGGCCGACCACGGGUGCAUGCCGCUGCUGGUGCGGCUGCUGGAGGCCAAGUCGAACGGCGCGCGGGAGGUGGCGGCGGCGACCCUGAUGAGCUGCCCGGCGAACGCGAGGAGCGUCAAGAAGGAUGACAAGAGCGUGCCGAACCUGGUGCACCUGCUGGACCCGAGCCCGGGGGACACGGUCAAGAAGUACGCCAUCUCAGGCGCCAUCGGGUACCUGAACAAGCUCUCCGAGAUGGACGUGGCAGGCGCCAACAAGCAUCGGGUAUCUGAAGAAGCUCAUGUCUGCCGCCUGGUGAUAACAAAGGCCGGGAAUUAA
rnacentral:rRNA from 1 species